GACGAACGCUGGCGGCGUGCUUAACACAUGCAAGUCGAACGGAAAGGCCCUGCUUUUGUGGGGUGCUCGAGUGGCGAACGGGUGAGUAACACGUGAGUAACCUGCCCUUGACUUUGGGAUAACUUCAGGAAACUGGGGCUAAUACCGGAUAGGAGCUCCUGCUGCAUGGUGGGGGUUGGAAAGUUUCGGCGGUUGGGGAUGGACUCGCGGCUUAUCAGCUUGUUGGUGGGGUAGUGGCUUACCAAGGCUUUGACGGGUAGCCGGCCUGAGAGGGUGACCGGCCACAUUGGGACUGAGAUACGGCCCAGACUCCUACGGGAGGCAGCAGUGGGGAAUAUUGCACAAUGGGCGGAAGCCUGAUGCAGCAACGCCGCGUGCGGGAUGACGACCUUCGGGUUGUAAACCGCUUUCGCCUGUGACGAAGCGUGAGUGACGGUAAUGGGUAAAGAAGCACCGGCUAACUACGU
rnacentral:rRNA from 1 species